rnacentral:lncRNA from 1 species
GGCGGCUGCGCUGGCUUAGAGCUGUUACUGUCAUUCUACAACUUUACAACAAUGCCCCAGACACAGAAAAGGUUGCGCCUUGGAACGAUUUCUGUUAUGGGAUAAUAAAAAUCCCGACGUCAGAGCUAAGGAAUGUGACCUUCCGCUGCUCCAGUUGUAACUCCCUGCUGUCCUCCUGCUUGAGCCUUUUAGGGUAAAGUUCAGCACAUAUCACCCUCGUCAACCGCGCCCCGUAAGGCAGCCACAGAGUCCUGUGCUGAUCCCAGGAAUAAGAUGGCAGCACUGCAGGAUUCCGGAGCCACCCACAGCACCGACUGCUGCUGGAGAUACACAAUCAUGGGCACUCGUGAAGCUGCAGAAACUCACGGGGACCCUGACACCAGCUGCUCCUUGGACAGAGGGAGGCCCGUCAUCUGGGUCUGAAGGAGGCUCCCAAGACUCUGACACAGAAC